GCUUAAAUACUAGCCCACUAAUUUACCCACCUUACCCCCUCCCCCAAAAACAUUUCUACCAUUAAGUAACGGCGAUUAAAAAAUGAUUAAGAGCUAUAAAAAUAGUACCGCAAGGGAAAUAUGAAAUAUAAUGAAAAAUCUUAAAGCACAAAAUAGCAAAGCUCUAACCUUGUACCUUUUGCAUCAUGAUCUAGCUAGUUCACCCAAGCAAAAUGCAUUUAAAGUUUGACCCCCCGAAACUAAGCGAGCUACUUUAAAACAGCCUCACGAGCCAACCCGUCUCUGUAGCAAAAGAGUGGGAAAAUUUUAAAGUAGAGGUGACACACCUAUCGAGCUUAGAGAUAGCUGGUUAUUCAAGAAAAGGAUUUAAGUCCACCUUUAAGUUUUUUUACUAAUACUAAAUCCCUAAUAAACUUAAAAGCCAUUCAAAUAAGGUACAGCCUAUUUGAACUAGGAAACAACCUCUAAUAUAGGGUAAUGAUCUUCUACAUGUGACCAAGUAGGCCUAAAAGCAGCCAACUUCCAAACAGCGUCCAAGCUUUAUCACUAACCAUUAUUAAUCCCAUCAUCUUCACAUAACCCACAACUACCACUGAAUAACCCCAUACCACUAUGGGAGAUAUUAUGCUAGAACUAGUAACAAGAACAAGUGCUUCUCCAAAAUAUUAAGCGUAAGCCAAAAUGAACAACUCACUGGCAUUCACCGCCAUAGACUCAUAGUACCAACUCAACAAGAAAACCCUACUACACCUGACGUCAACCUUACACUAGAACAUUACUGGAAAGAUUAAAAAAGAGGGAAGGAACUCGGCAAAUAUUAGCCCCGCCUGUUUACCAAAAACAUCGCCUCUUGACAACCAUAAGAGGUCCAGCCUGCCCAGUGACUAAAAGUUAAACGGCCGCGGUACCCUAACCGUGCAAAGGUAGCACAAUCACUUGUUCUUUAAAUUAGGACUAGUAUGAAUGGCCUCACGAGAGCUAUACUGUCUCCCCUCUUUAAUCAGUGAAACUGAUCUCCUCGUGAAGAAGCGAGGAUAUAUUCAUAAGACGAGAAGACCCCAUGGAGCUUAAAACUUAUACCACUGCCUACAACUAUACCCAUAAACCAAGCAAUCAUGGUAACUAGUCUUUCGGUUGGGGCGACCACGGAGAAAAACUAAACCUCCACGAUGAAAGGAGUACCCCUAAUUUAAGAGCCACUACUCUAAAAAUCAAUAAAUUGACAUAAAUUGACCCAAACAUUUGAUCAACGAACCAAGUUACCCUGGGGAUAACAGCGCAAUCCAUUUCAAGAGACCCCAUCGACAAAUGGGCUUACGACCUCGAUGUUGGAUCAGGGUGUCCCAGUGGUGCAGCCGCUACUAACGGUUCGUUUGUUCAAC
rnacentral:rRNA from 1 species